rnacentral:lncRNA from 10 species
CUAUGUCUCUUCCUGAGGAGCUUCCUCUGGUCUCUAGAGUUUCUUCUGUCUGUACAUUGGUCAGGGUGGAAGUGCUGAAGAAUUAAUUUCCUCAGGAAUUUGUCUCAAUCAAUGACUGAUAAGAAAUGGAGCAUAAACUUUCAAGUUCUCUUAGGAUUAGCUUCUGGAGGAAACUCUAAAAAGAUGCCAACCUUUCUUCACUUUUGGAAAAUGUGCUUUGGUUGAAGAUGACUGCAUUUAUGGGUCCAAGGAUGGAGCAUGUAACACACGUAAGACUAUCUGUGUAUUCUAUUUUCCGUCCUCACCUGAACUCUGCCCUGUGAUCGCUUUAAAGAUAAGAAAAUGACCUUGUCAGAGCCAGUGGUUACAGACAUGAAUCUGUACUCCAGUGAAUAAAUAUUUUGAAGUAGUGCUGUGUUCUAGAUUCUUAAGAAAUAUUGGAUUGAAAACAAAAUGAUGUAUGUAGCACUUCUUCUGCAGUCUUGCUAUCCA